rnacentral:rRNA from 1 species
AUUGAACGCUGGCGGAAUGCUUUACACAUGCAAGUCGAACGGCAGCACGGACUUCGGUCUGGUGGCGAGUGGCGAACGGGUGAGUAAUGCAUCGGAACGUGCCCAAUCGUGGGGGAUAACGUAGCGAAAGUUACGCUAAUACCGCAUACGAUCUAAGGAUGAAAGCGGGGGAUCGCAAGACCUCGCGCGAAUGGAGCGGCCGAUGUUAGAUUAGGUAGUUGGUGGGGUAAAGGCUCACCAAGCCGACGAUCUAUAGCUGGUCUGAGAGGAUGAUCAGCCACACUGGGACUGAGACACGGCCCAGACUCCUACGUGAGGCAGCAGUGGGGAAGUUUGGACAAUGGGCGCAAGCCUGAUCCAGCCAUUCCGCGUGCAGGAUGAAGUCCCUCGGGUUGUAAACUGCUUUUGUACAGAACGAAAAGCUCUGGGUUAAUACCCUGGGGUCAUGACGGUACUGUAAGAAUAAGCACCGGCUAACUACGUGCCAGCCGCCGCGGUAACAC